GAUGAAGAACGUAGCGAAAUGCGAUAAGUAGUGUGAAUUGCAGAAUUCAGUGAAUCAUCGAAUCUUUGAACGCACAUUGCGCCCUUUGGUAUUCCUUAGGGCAUGCCUGUUCGAGCGUCAUUUAAACCUUCAAGCUCAGCUUGGUGUUGGGUGACUGUCCGCUUCACCGCGGACUCGCCUCAAAAUUAUUGGCGGCCGGUACAUUGGCUUCGAGCGCAGCAGAAACGCGAACUCGGGCCCGUCGUAUUGGCUCCCAGAAGCUAUCUUCACAAUUUUGACCUCGGAUCAGGUAGGGAUACCCGCUGAACUUAAGCAUAUCAAUAAGCGGAGG
rnacentral:misc_RNA from 1 species